GACGAACGCUGGCGGCGUGCUUAACACAUGCAAGUCGAACGGAAAGGCCCUGCUCUUGUGGGGUGCUCGAGUGGCGAACGGGUGAGUAACACGUGAGUAACCUGCCCUUGACUUUGGGAUAACUUCAGGAAACUGGGGCUAUUACCGCAUAGGAGCUCCUGCUGCACGGUGGGGGUCGGAAAGUUUCGGGGGUUGGGGAUGGACUCGCGGGUUAUCAGCUUGUUUGGGGGGUAGUGGCUUACCAAGGCUUUGACGGGUAGCGGGCCUGAGAGGGUGACCGGCGACAUUGGGUCUGAGGUACGGCCGAGGCUCCUACGGUAGGCAGAAGGGGGGAAUAUUGCAGGAUGGGCGGAAGCCUGAUGCAGCAGCGCCGCGUGCGGGAUGACGGUCUUCGGGGUGAAAACCACUUUCGCCAGUAACGAAGCGUGAGUGACGGUAAUGGGUAAAGAAGCACCGGCUAACUACGGU
rnacentral:rRNA from 1 species